rnacentral:rRNA from 1 species
CCUACGGGUGGCAGCAGUAGGGAAUAUUGCUCAAUGGGGGAAACCCUGAAGCAGCAACGCCGCGUGGAGGAUGAAGGUUUUCGGAUUGUAAACUCCUUUUGUUAGAGAAGAUAAUGACGGUAUCUAACGAAUAAGCACCGGCUAACUCCGUGCCAGCAGCCGCGGUAAUACGGAGGGUGCAAGCGUUACUCGGAGUCACUGGGCGUAAAGAGCGCGUAGGCGGGAUAGCAAGUCAGAUGUGAAAUCCUGUGGCUUAACCAUAGAACGGCAUUGAAAACUGUUAUUCUAGGGUAUGGGAGGGGUAGGUGAAAUUCUUGGUGUGGGGUAAAAAUC